rnacentral:rRNA from 1 species
CCCUUAGAUGUUCUGGGCCGCACGCGCGCUACACUGAUGCAUUCAACGAGUCUAAAACCUGGUCUGAGAGGGCUGGGUAAUCUUUUGAAAGUGCAUCGUGAUUGGGGUAGAUGAUUGCAAUUCUUCAUCUUCAACGAGGAAUGCCUAGUAAACGCAAGUCAUCAGCUUGCAUUGAUUACGUCCCUGCCCUUUGUACACACCGCCCGUCGCUCCUACCGAUUGAACGAUCCGAUGAAAACUGUGGAUUGAGAGUCUGAGUGGGUUCGCCUACCUCAACUUUCGAGAAGCGGUUUAAAUCUUAUCGUUUAGAGGAAGGAGAAGUCGUAACA